rnacentral:rRNA from 1 species
AUUGAACGCUGGCGGCAGGCCUAACACAUGCAAGUCGAACGGUAACAGGAAGAAGCUUGCUUCUUUGCUGACGAGUGGCGGACGGGUGAGUAAUGUCUGGGAAACUACCUGAUGGAGGGGGAUAACUACUGGAAACGGUAGCUAAUACCGCAUAACGUCGCAAGACCAAAGAGGGGGACCUUCGGGCCUCUUGCCAUCGGAUGUGCCCAGAUGGGAUUAGCUAGUAGGUGGGGUAACGGCUCACCUAGGCGACGAUCCCUAGCUGGUCUGAGAGGAUGACCAGCCACACUGGAACUGAGACACGGUCCAGACUCCUACGGGAGGCAGCAGUGGGGAAUAUUGCACAAUGGGCGCAAGCCUGAUGCAGCCAUGCCGCGUGUAUGAAGAAGGCCUUCGGGUUGUAAAGUACUUUCAGCGGGGAGGAAGGGAGUAAAGUUAAUACCUU